rnacentral:lncRNA from 1 species
UACACAAUAAACUUAUAAACUGCAUGCACAUGAAUCUGUCACUUACAGAUGUUUUCGCUGUCGCUCUUUUUCGUCUAUUCUUUUACCAUAAAUAUCCUCUAAAAGAUGUAGCAGUGUCCUCUCUCCUUGAAUUACAAAAAUUUACUGACCCAUGCACUGGUUUGCGUGUCAUGAUGUACACUUGUCAUAUUAAACCAAUUAUGAGAUAAAAUAAAGGCUGAUUAUCUACACUACAAAUGUUCGACUGCUCUGUGAUCAUUAACAGACGCGAGUGUCAUUCACAAUGAUGCACUUAUUAACCUUAACGUCUUAAUCUAGCUUUCCGAUCCAACACUUAUUAAUAAUUUACAUCAAAAUGUUUGAGACAAUUGUAGUUUUAACUUACGCGUUUAUAGCGAACAUUCCACUGGCAAAGUUUUCCUGGCUUUUUAUAUCACAUUAUACAACUCUAACAGCUUGAAAAUUCCACUCAACGAUUGUAAUUUUUGUUAGUCUUGUUUAAGGUAAAUGCUUUUCCAUUUAAAAAUAAAGAUAAAAGCCAUAUUUCCACGCGAAGGCAACGUUUAUUUUGUGUAGCGCUGCGCUAUGUUU